GGAGGAACUAGGGAGGCUUCCAUAAGAUUUUGAUUAACAGCCAGCGCUAGGGAAGGUCACAGGGAUACAAAAGGGUAGGAGGAGGAUCCAGAGACCUCCAAGUUGUGGACUUCGAAGGCAUCCGGUUCCUUUCCCAGCUUUGUCAAGAAUUCCCUGGGCGGCGGACACCCUCAAAAUAAAAAAAACGGGAACCACAGGGAAGGGGAAAAAGAAGAACCACAAGCGUUUUGAGAAACAAACAGAGGCUGGGCCUAGGGCCUGGGGUGUGCCCUGCAACUGGGGGGGGUGGGGCUGGAUGUUCUUGGAGUCAGGGAGCAGCAGCCUCCCACAGGAUGUGAGAGAGGAACUGGGGUCUCCAGUCACGGGAGCCAGGAGCCGGCCAGGGCCGCAGGCAGGAAGGGAGCGAGGCUGAAGGGAACGUCGUCCUCUCAGCAUGAGGGUCCCGCGGCCUCAGCCCUGGGCGCUGGGGCUCCUGCUCUUUCUCCUGCCCGGGAGCCUGGGCGCAGAAAGCCACCUCUCCCUCCUGUACCACCUCACCGCGGUGUCCUCGCCUGCCCCGGGGACGCCUGCCUUCUGGGUGUCCGGCUGGCUGGGCCCGCAGCAGUACCUGAGCUACGACAGCCUGAGGGGCCAGGCGGAGCCCUGUGGAGCUUGGGUCUGGGAAAACCAAGUGUCCUGGUAUUGGGAGAAAGAGACCACAGAUCUGAGGAUCAAGGAGAAGCUCUUUCUGGAAGCUUUCAAAGCUUUGGGGGGAAAAGGCCCCUACACUCUGCAGGGCCUGCUGGGCUGUGAACUGAGCCCUGACAACACCUCGGUGCCCACCGCCAAGUUCGCCCUGAACGGCGAGGAGUUCAUGAAUUUCGACCUCAAGCAGGGCACCUGGGGUGGGGACUGGCCCGAGGCCCUGGCUAUCAGUCAGCGGUGGCAGCAGCAGGACAAGGCGGCCAACAAGGAGCUCACCUUCCUGCUAUUCUCCUGCCCACACCGGCUGCGGGAGCACCUGGAGAGGGGCCGUGGAAACCUGGAGUGGAAGGAGCCCCCCUCCAUGCGCCUGAAGGCCCGACCCGGCAACCCUGGCUUUUCCGUGCUUACCUGCAGCGCCUUCUCCUUCUACCCUCCGGAACUGCAACUGCGGUUCCUGCGGAAUGGGAUGGCCGCUGGCACCGGACAGGGCGACUUCGGCCCCAACAGUGACGGCUCCUUCCACGCCUCGUCGUCACUAACAGUCAAAAGUGGCGAUGAGCACCACUACUGCUGCAUCGUGCAGCACGCGGGGCUGGCGCAGCCCCUCAGGGUGGAGCUGGGUGAGGCCCCGCCCGGUGGUGAUGCUCCUGGUUUCCCGUUGCCUUGUCUCACUGCUGUGCCGGUCCUUCCUGAGUCUGACCUUCCUCCCCGCUGCUGCCAUCUCCUUGAAUCUGACUGCCUUGUGCCUCGCGCCUUUCAGUGCCCCCAAAGCCUGAUGCCUUGUCCUUCCCAAGGCCGACUGCCUUCCGUCCUGCUGCUUCUGGCCUCACUGAGUCUGAAGAGCUGUUAACCACCAUGGCCAGUCCUCCCUGAGUCUGACCGUCUUCCAUCCUGCUGCUGCUGCAGCUGCAGGUCUUCCUGGAAUCUGACCAUUCGUUGUCUGCUAUGCCCGUCCUCACCAAGACUGACCACUUGCUGCCUUGCUACUGCCGGGGCCCAUGAGGCUGACUUCCCACUGCUCUGCCUGCCUCUCCCCGCUGCGCCGGGACAGCCCCACCCUGCCGCUGCUGGUCCAUUGCCAGUGUGACCACGGCGGCCGCUCGUGCUGUGGCUGGUUCUUACAUCCAGCCUGGGGGCACCCUGCCGAGAUCGCCCGCCUGGCCUUGCCUCUGUCCAUCAGACACUUGGUGCUGGGAUCUCCGAGGCUGGGAGGGACUGGGACCCCCCCAGUGCUGUGUCCUGACUGGGUGGGGGUGGACGGGCUGCUCCACAUCUCACAGCGUUCUCUGGCUGCAGAAACUCCAGCCAAGUCCUCGGUGCUCGUGGUGGGAAUCGUCAUCGGUGUCUUGCUACUCACGGCAGCGGCUGUAGGAGGAGCUCUGUUGUGGAGAAGGAUGAGGAGUGGGCUGCCAGCCCCUUGGAUCUCCUCCGUGGAGAUGACACCGGGUCCCUCCUGCCCACCCCGGGGGAGGCCCAGGAUGCUGAUUCGAAGGAUAUAAAUGUGAUCCCAGCCACUGCCUGACCAUCUGCCAUUCCGACUGCUAAAAGCGAAUGUAGUCAGGCCCCUUUCAUGCUGUGAGACCUCCUGGAACACUGGCAUCUCUGAGCCUCCAGAAGGGGUCCUGGGCCCUGUUGUCCUCCCUCUGGAGCCCCGUCCUGUGGUCUGCCUCAGUUUCCCCUCCUAAUACAUAUGGCUCUUUUCCACCUCGAUAAUAUAACACGAGUUUGGGCCCGAA